AGUGAACGCUGGCGGUAGGCCUAACACAUGCAAGUCGAACGGCAGCACAGAGGAGCUUGCUCCUUGGGUGGCGAGUGGCGGACGGGUGAGGAAUACAUCAGAAUCUACUCUGUCGUGGGGGAUAACGUAGGGAAACUUACGCUAAUACCGCAUACGACCUACGGGUGAAAGCAGGGGAUCUUCGGACCUUGCGCGAUUGAAUGAGCCGAUGUCGGAUUAGCUAGUUGGCGGGGUAAAGGCCCACCAAGGCGACGAUCCGUAGCUGGUCUGAGAGGAUGAUCAGCCACACUGGAACUGAGACACGGUCCAGACUCCUCCGGGAGUCAGCAGUGGGGAAUAUUGGACAAUGGGCGCAAGCCUGAUCCAGCCAUACCGCGUGGGUGAAGAAGGCCUUCGGGUUGUAAAGCCCUUUUGUUGGGGAAGAAAUCCAUCUGGUUAAUACCCGGGUGGGAUGACGGUACCCAAAGAAUAAGCACCGGCUAACUUCGUGCCAGCAGCCGCCGUAA
rnacentral:rRNA from 1 species